rnacentral:rRNA from 1 species
CUACGGGUUGCACCAGUGGGGAAUAUUGGACAAUGGGGGCAACCCUGAUCCAGCAAUGCCGCGUGAGUGAUGAAGGCCUUAGGGUUGUAAAGCUCUUUCGACGGGGACGAUGAUGACGGUACCCGUAGAAGAAGCCCCGGCUAACUUCGUGCCAGCAGCCGCGGUAAUACGAAGGGGGCUAGCGUUGUUCGGAAUUACUGGGCGUAAAGGGCGCGUAGGCGGUCUUGUAAGUCAGAUGUGAAAGCCCCGGGCUCAACCCGGGAAUAGCAUUUGAUACUGCGAGGCUUGAGUCCGGGAGAGGAUGGCGGAAUUCCCAGUGUAGAGGUGAAAUUCGUAGAUAUUGGGAAGAACACCGGUGGCGAAGGCGGCCAUCUGGACCGGUACUGACGCUGAGGCGCGAAAGCGUGGGGAGCAAACAGGAUUAGAUACCCGCGUAGUC